GGGUCCUAGGCAACCUGUUCUAGUGUCUGAUUUAGCGGUUGGCAACCCUGCCCAGGGGAGCUGAAACUAGAUGGUGUUUCAGAUCUCUUCCAGCCCAAGCCAUUCUAUGAUUCUAUGAUUAAAACUAUCUCAGAAAUCGCUGCCACCAAACCACAGAAUGACGAAAUGGCUGAGACUGGAUGGGACACCUCUGGAAGUUAUCUGAUCCAACCCCCUUAUCCAAGCAGAGACACCCAGAGCAGAUAGCCUAGGACCAUGGCCAGAUGGUUUUUGAAGAUCUCCAAAGAAGGGCACUCCACAAUCUCUCUGGGUACCCUCUGCAAGUGCUCUGGCAUCUACCCAAUAAUGAAAUGUAAGCAAAGGAGGAGUCAUCUCAAAAUAAAUCUAUACAUACCUCUCCAA